rnacentral:ribozyme from 1 species
UUUACUCCUGUUUACUCAUAAUUCUUUUGAUUUAAUGCCUGGCGAAAAGAAUACGUCUACGAGUGAAAGAUAGAAAAGCUAGGUAACUAAUUUUUUUUUCUCUCUCUCUCUCCUGUUUUCUCAUCAUUCUUUUGAUUUAAU